GAUGAACGCUGGCGGCGUGCCUAAUACAUGCCAGUCGAGCGAACAGACGAGGAGCUUGCUCCUCUGACGUUAGCGGCGGACGGGUGAGUAACACGUGGAUAACCUACCUAUAAGACUGGGAUAACUUCGGGAAACCGGAGCUAAUACCGGAUAAUAUAUUGAACCGCAUGGUUCAAUAGUGAAAGACGGUUUUGCUGUCACUUAUAGAUGGAUCCGCGCCGCAUUAGCUAGUUGGUAAGGUAACGGCUUACCAAGGCAACGAUGCGUAGCCGACCUGAGAGGGUGAUCGGCCACACUGGAACUGAGACACGGUCCAGACUCCUACGGGAGGCAGCAGUAGGGAAUCUUCCGCAAUGGGCGAAAGCCUGACGGAGCAACGCCGCGUGAGUGAUGAAGGUCUUCGGAUCGUAAAACUCUGUUAUUAGGGAAGAACAAAUGUGGAAGUAACUAUGCACGUCUUGACGGUACCUAAUCAGAAAGCCACGGCUAACUACGUG
rnacentral:rRNA from 1 species